GACGAACGCUGGCGGCGUGCUUAACACAUGCAAGUCGAACGGAGCGAAUGAAAGCUUGCUUUUAUAAGCUUAGUGGCAAACGGGUGAGUAACACGUAGGCAACCUGCCGACAGGAUGGGGACAACAUUCCGAAAGGAAUGCUAAUACCGAAUGAAGCGCAGGAGAGGCAUCUCUCCUGCGUGAAAGAUGGCCUCUAUAUAUAAGCUAUCACCUGUCGAUGGGCCUGCGUCUGAUUAGCUGGUAGGUGAGGUAACGGCUCACCUAGGCGACGAUCAGUAGCCGGUCUGAGAGGAUGAACGGCCACAUUGGGACUGAGACACGGCCCAGACUCCUACGGGAGGCAGCAGUGGGGAAUCUUCCGCAAUGGGCGCAAGCCUGACGGAGCAACGCCGCGUGAGUGAAGAAGGUCUUCGGAUCGUAAAGCUCUGUUGAUGGGGACGAACGUGCCUAAUGCGAAUAGUAUUAG
rnacentral:rRNA from 1 species